GACGAACGCUGGCGGCGUGCUUAACACAUGCAAGUCGAACGGAAAGGCCCUGCUUUUGUGGGGUGCUCGAGUGGCGAACGGGUGAGUAACACGUGAGUAACCUGCCCUUGACUUUGGGAUAACUUCAGGAAACUGGGGCUAAUACCGGAUAGGAGCUCCUGCUGCAUGGUGGGGGUUGGAAGGUUUCGGCGGUUGGGGCUGUACUCGCGGCUUAUCAGCUUGUUGGUGGGGUAGUGGCUUACCAAGGCUUUGACGGGUAGCCGGCCUGAGAGGGUGACCGGCCACAUUGGGACUGAGAUACGGCCAAGACUCCUACGGGAGGCAGCAGUGGGGAAUAUUGCACAAUGGGCGGAAGCCUGAUGCAGUAACGCCGCGUGCGGGAUGACGGGCUUCGGGUUGUAAACCGCUUUGGCCUGUGACGAAGCGUGAGUGACGGUAAUGGGUAAAGAAGCACCGGCUAACUACGUG
rnacentral:rRNA from 1 species